rnacentral:rRNA from 1 species
AUUGAACGCUGGCGGCAUGCCUUACACGUGCAAGUCGAACGGUAACAGGUUAAGCUGACGAGUGGCGAACGGGUGAGUAAUGUAUCGGAACGUGCCCAGUCGUGGGGGAUAACUGCUCGAAAGAGCAGCUAAUACCGCAUACGACCUGAGGGUGAAAGCGGGGGAUCGCAAGACCUCGCGCGAUUGGAGCGGCCGAUAUCAGAUUAGGUAGUUGGUGAGGUAAAGGCUCACCAAGCCGACGAUCUGUAGCUGGUCUGAGAGGACGACCAGCCACACUGGGACUGAGACACGGCCCAGACUCCUACGGGAGGCAGCGGUGGGGAAUUUUGGACAAUGGGCGCAAGCCUGAUCCAGCCAUGCCGCGUGCGGGAAGAAGGCCUUCGGGUUGUAAACUGCUUUUGUCAGGGAAAAAAAGGUUCUGGCUAAUACCUGGGACUCAUGACGGUACCUGAAGAAUAAGCACCGGCUAACUACGUGCCAGCAGCCGCCGCCGUAA